AUUGAACGCUGGCGGCAGGCCUAACACAUGCAAGUCGAGCGAGCGGCGGACGGGUGAGUAAUGUAUGGGGAUCUGCCUGAUGGCGGGGGAUAACUACUGGAAACGGUAGCUAAUACCGCAUACCCUCAGAUGUACCCAUAUGGGAUUAGCUAGUAGGUGAGGUAACGGCUCACCUAGGCGACGAUCCCUAGCUGGUCUGAGCGGAUGACAAGCCAAACUGGGACUGAGACACGGCCCAGAGUCCUACGGGAGGCAGCAGUGGGGAAUAUUGCACAAUGGGCGCAAGCCUGAUGCAGCCAUGCCGCGUGUAUGAAGAAGGCCUUCGGGUUGUAAAGUACUUUCAGCGGGGAGGCGUUACCGACAGAAGAAGCACCGGCUAACUCCGUGCCAGCAGCCGCGGUAAUAC
rnacentral:rRNA from 1 species